UAAAACAAAGUCGUGACUCAGAAAUCGGAGUAAUUGAGUCAACUGACAAAUUUAUGGAUGCAGACCAGUCUCAAAUGCUUACCAUUAGUCAACAAGAUCUGGGGGAAUCUGAUAGAAACAAUAACUCCACUGGGUCUGUCAAAAAACAAAUGAAAAGAAAGAAAGUCCAAUGGAAACAACAACCAUCUGAUCCAAAAGAACUAACAAGUGAAAACGAAUCAAGUGGCUAUGAUGAGGAUGAAGACGCUACUGACCAGGACAAGCACACAAUUUCUCCAAAGCAAGACCAAAAGCCAAAGGAUGCACUCGAUGGUGAAAGUGC